rnacentral:rRNA from 1 species
AGUGAACGCUGGCGGUCGGCCUAACACAUGCAAGUCGAACGGAAGCACAGUAAGAGCUUGCUCUUUCGGGCGGCGAGUGGUGGACGGGUGAGGAAUACCCCGGUAUCUACUUUUUCGUGGGGGAUAUCGUAGGGCAACUUACGCUAACACCGCAUACGACCUACGGGUGAAAGCAGGGGAUCUUCGGACCUUGCGCGAUUGAGUGAGCCGAUGUCGGAUUAGCUAGUUGGGGGGGUAAAGGCCCACCAAGGCGACGAUCCGUAGCUGGUCUGAGAGGAUGAUCAGCCACACUGGAACUGAGACACGGUCCAGACUCCUACGGGAGGCAGCAGUGGGAGAUAUGGGACAAGGGGCGCAAGCCUGAUCCAGCCAUACCGCGUGUGUGAAGAAGGCGUUCGGGUUGGAAAGCCCUUUUGUUGGGAGAGAAAAGCGGCAGGUGAAUACCCCGCGGUUCUGACGGUACCCAAAGAAUAAGCACCGGCUAACUACGUG